CCGCCGUCGGCGAAAGAUGAAGCUCCCGAGUGAAAACAGCCGCAGAAAAGAAAAGAAGAACGAAAUUUAAUGCGUGCGCGGUCGUCGAUCGCGUUCGAUUUAUCGAAAAAAUCAGGAUUUUAGCCAUCGAAACCGGGAAAAAAGUGUCCAGAAGUGAACCGCGGGAAGUGCUUGCGUUGGUGGGUGUGAAAUUUUCGCGAUUUGAUAGGUGGUUUACCAAGGAAAUCGUCGGUUUUUAGUGACGCGUUUUGUCCCAGCUAGGGUCUAGCAGUGAACUGCGAAAGUGGACAUCGAGGAGCUUCUCCGUGUUAAUUCGUGUUUAAUCUGAGUUAUGCUGUGAGGAAAACGCCGGCGACCCGGUCGGUUAGAUUGCGCGGGGGUUCCAGGGUGUUUCGGCAGAACGGUCACGUUGUUUGAUAGGCUUUUGUUUCUUUGAUAGCGAGUUUUUGUUUUUAUUUUUUUCUGAGUAGCGCUUUGCCGCUAGUGGGAAAAUGGACGUACAACAAUUGGAACUGCUGUGCAAGCAGUUUUACGAAUCACAGGAUGCCCAAGCGCGAGCCGAAGCCGAGAAGGCGCUCUACCUGUUCCAGGAGGAUCCGGAUGCGUUGCCAAAAUGUCAACAACUACUGGACCGGAGCAAUUCGUCCUAUUCUCAGUUGUUGGCCGCUACCACGCUGACCAAGCUGGUUUCGAAGAACAUUCAGGCGCUGAGUCUGCAGCAGCGGGUAGACAUCCGGAACUACAUUCUGAACUAUUUGGCCACUCAUCCGAAUCUGCAGCCGUUUGUGAUCCAGGCCCUGAUUGCGCUACUGGUGAAGAUCACAAAACUGUGCUGGGUGGAUUUAUACGAAGAUGAGUACAUCUUCCGGAACAUUGUCCAGGACGUGAAAGAAUUCCUGGGAGGAUCCGUAGAACACUGUAUGAUUGGGGUACAAAUUCUGUCCCAGCUGACGGUGGAAAUGAACCAGCUGGCGGAGACGGCCUGCAAUUUGACCUUCACCAAACACCGGAAGAUUGCCUGCCUGUACAGGGACUCCCAGCUGUACGAUAUCUUCAUUUUGUCCUGCACGUUGCUCAGCCAGGCCAAGGACAAUUGCUGCCAGAAGCCGAACUAUUUGGAUGAAGCCCAACACGGACUGUUCACGCAUUUGCUCAAUCUGGCCCGAAACUGUCUCAGUUUCGAUUUUGUCGGAACUUCUGCAGACGAAUCCGCCGACGACAUGUCCACGGUACACAUCCCCACCAACUGGCGUCCUGCCUUUCUUGAGUCCGAUUCCGUGAAGCUGUUCUUCGAUCUGUAUCAUGUCCUCCCGGCACGACUCUCCUGCCUCGCUCUGUCCUGCCUGGUUCAAAUCACCUCCAUUCGGCGGUCCAUCUUCAACAACACCGAGCGCAUCAAAUUCCUGGCCAAACUUGUGAAAGGCGCCACGGACAUCCUAAAAACGUCCCACGGCCUCAGCGAUCCGGAAAAUUAUCACGAGUUCUGCCGCCUCCUAGCGCGCCUCAAAUCCAACUUCCAGCUUGGCGAGCUGGUUACCGUCGAAAACUACGCCGAAGCCAUCCAGCUGAUCGCCAAAUUCACCGUUCAAUCGCUUCAAAUGUGGCAAUUUGCACCCAACAGCAUCCACUACCUUUUGUCCCUGUGGCAGCGCCUGAUCGCUUCCCUCCCGUACGUCAAAUCCUCCGAACCGCACUACCUGGACACCUACACCCCGGAAGUCACGAAGGCCUACGUCACCUCGAAGCUGGAAUCGGUCCCCGUAAUCCUCCGGGAAUCCCUCGAGGACCCUCUAGACGACACCGGCAUGGUCCAGCAGCAGCUCGAGCAAUUCUCCACCAUCGGUCGCUGUGAGUACGAAAAGACCUGCGCCCUCCUCAUUCAACUGUUCGACCAAACGGCUGGCCGCUACCAGGAAAUCCUGUCCUGCCCUCCGACCACCGCCAACCAUCUGGACGUCCGGAUCUGUGAGGGUCAGCUGACCUGGCUGGUGUACAUCAUCGGGGCGGCCAUUAGCGGACGGAUCUCCUACUCCCACGACGAUCAUGACCUUCUCGACGGGGACAUGAUCAUCCGGGUACUCCAGCUGAUGACGAUCACCGACUCGCGCCUCCCCCAAUGUGGCUGCGAAAAGCUAGAGUUUGCCAUCAUGUGCUUCCUGGAGCAAGUCCGCAAGGUGUACAUCAACGAGCACCUGCAGAAGCUGAAAAUGUUCAAACGGCUGAGCGAGGUCCUUGGGGUCAACGAUGAGACCACGCUCCUGACGGUGAUCAGCAGGAAGAUUAUUACCAAUCUGAAGUACUUUGGCCACUCGGAGCAGAUCAUACGGAAAACGCUGACGCUGCUGAACGAUUUGACGCUGACGUUCAGCUCGAUUCGGCGGCUGAUCAAGCUGGACGAGAUACAGUUUAUGCUGAACAAUCACACGCGGGAGCACUUCUCGUUCCUCGGAACCGGUGCCGUCAGCGCGUCCCGUUGCCGCAGCAUGUUCUACACCUGCCUCGGCCGGUUGCUGAUGGUGGAUCUGUCGGAGGACGUCGAACGUUUCAACACCUUCAUGAUGCCGCUGACGAACACGAUCGAAAACAUGGUCAUGAUGAGUUUUCCCAGCGAGGAAGCCCGAAAGGAGCUGAUUGGGCUGUCGCGGGAUCUGCGCGGUCUGACGCAUGCGUUCAACUCCAAGAACCCGUACAUGAUGCUGUUCGAUUGGAUAUAUCCGGACUAUUCGCCGAUUCUGAUCCGGGCGGUGGAGCUGUGGGCGCACGAUCCGGCCGUAACGACCCCGGUGUUGAAACUGUUCGCCGAGCUGGUGUACAAUCGGUCGCAGCGGUUGCAGUUUGACGUUUCUAGUCCCAAUGGAAUUUUGCUGUUCAGGGAAACUUCCAAACUGAUUUGCUGCUACGGCGAGCGAAUCCUAUCGCUGGACGUCCCGAAGGAGCAGAUCUACCCGAUGAAGCUGAAGGGCUAUGCCGUGUGUUUUCAGAUGUUGAAGGCCAUCCUCAGCGGGAACUACGUCAACUUUGGAGUGUUCAAGCUGUACGGUGACGAUGCGUUGGACAACGUGCUAAAUAUGACCGCCAAGCUGAUACUGUCGAUCUCCCACGAUGAUAUACUGGUUUACCCUAAACUAUCUCAAGCAUACUACAUACUGAUUGAGUGUCUAGCUCAGGAUCACAUCACAUACCUGUCCACCUUGGAACCACCCGUAUUUCUAUACAUUCUAGAGAGUAUAUCGAAGGGUCUGAACGCUUUAGAUGUUUUGGUGGGCUCUGGUUGCUGUUCGACGUUAGACUAUAUCGUGACGUACAUUUUCAAACAGUUGCAGCUGAAAGAGAAACACAUGCUACUGGUAACGACAUUCCCGAACAAGAAGCUCCGGCAGAGCGUCCUGCCGGAAAAUAACGUGUUCCUGAAGGUGAUGGAACUGCACCCGGAGAUCCUGCAGAACCUGCUGUCCACCCUGCUGAACAUCGUCAUGUACGACGACUGCAAGAACCAGUGGUCCAUGUCGAGACCGCUGCUGGUGCUGAUACUGCUGUACGAGGACUACUUCAGGCAACUCCGGGAAAACAUCGUCCACUCGCAACCUAUCGAGAAACAACAGUCGAUGGCAUGUCUCUUCGACAACCUUAUGGACGGCAUUGAACGAAACCUACACAUCCGGAAUCGAGACCGAUUCACGCAAAACCUGUCAGCGUUCCGCCGGGACCUGAACGAUUCCCUCAAGUCGGCCAACAGCCUGGCGAAUAGCUCGUCGCUAAACGAAAUGCCCAUUGUUUACUAUUGAUAAAAUUUGGUGAAAAUAAGCUUUUGCUGUGUACUUGAAAGAAACAAAAUCUAUUCCACGAUGGGAAUCGAACCGGGACAGCUGUCAGUUCUUACUGAUCGGAAAACGCUUGACUAAAGUAAAACUCCUUUUUCGAGACGCGAAUUGUCACUACUACGGAUACAAACUAGUAUAUAUACUACUACCUACUAUCACACAGUUCAUUCGUACUUCUUGACGUUCGUUUUAUGUUGAACCACUGAGAAAGUUUAUGUUCCCAAGCAUCUUUUUUCACGUAAUCCUUCGUGCGAAGACUGCGUUUACCCUUACAAACAAUCGCAACCAUUGUGUCAUUCUUUUCUUCUUUUGUUUCUAGCUGCUAGGUAAAUUCUUUUCCUAAACAGAAAACCCGAUUAGAUUAUUGCGCGAAAUUGAGAGAGAAUGUUGUCGUAGAAACCCGGGAGAGAGAUGAUGGGAUGUGGAUUGUGAAUGGCGAAUGGACGACGGAGCUUUUUGCUCCAAUAAUUUUACUAUAAAUCGUAAGCGACAUAAGCGGACGCACUGGAUGGAGGCCGAAGCUUAGCGAAAGUCAGCAUUAGGGAUUUCUUUUCUUUUGAAGGGAAAAUCAUUGUUACAAAAAACCAGAAAAAAUGUUUAUACAAAUGAAGUUUAAUAAAGAUACAAAUGAAGAAAACAGUCCGUAAAAUAGCACGUAAGACACACGUAAGCAAAGCAACAAAAUAUUUGAUGUAAAAUCACAAACUGGGGACUCCCCAGUGGGGAGGUGAGCACAUGUUAAGUCGCUGAAUUUAAAGCCGAUGAACAGUGUUCCCUUGGGCAGUUGAUUUAAGUAGGCAGUACAUAUAUAUUGCGAAUUUCGUGAAUCGAACCAAUAAUGUUGUAGUACGGGGUAUUUGUAUUGCAAAAUGGACUUUUGUGUGGGCGUUAGUAAAAAAAAAUCUAGUAAACAAUGAGAGCAGGAAAAUGGGAGGAAGAACGUAGUUUUAAGAAAUUGCUGUUGCUAAACCGCGCGUUCAGUGAAAACAAAGCAGGAAUCCAUUUAAGCAGAUUUGUCGGAAGAAAAACAAAAAGGUAAAAAUAAAACAAAGCCGAUAUUAGAUUUUUUACGAA